UACGGGGGGGCAAGCGUUGUUCGGAAUUACUGGGCGUAAAGGGCGCGUAGGCGGGCCACCCAGUCCGGGGUGAAAUCUUUCGGCUCAACCGGAAAAGGGCCUUGGAUACUGGUGGUCUGGAGGAAGGUAGGGGCAUGCGGAACUUCCGGUGGAGCGGUGAAAUGCGUUGAUAUCGGAAGGAACGCCGGUGGCGAAAGCGGCGUGCUGGACCUUUGCUGACGCUGAUGACGCGAAGCC
rnacentral:rRNA from 1 species